AGCGUAUUCUUGAGGAAGAGGAAAAAAGAAACAAAUCAACUUCGUCCACGUCUGCACAGAAUGUCACAAAGAGGAGAAGAACCAAACACAAAGCAACAGUGUCUGUGUCUACGCAGACUGCCACAGAGGAGGAAAAAGCCAGAAGCAAAGGAACAGUGUCU